GACGAACGCUGGCGGCGCGCUUAACACAUGCAAGUCGAACGGAAAGGCCUGCUUUCCCUUGUGGAUUGCGGGUACUCGAGUGGCGAACGGGUGAGUAACACGUGAGUGAUCUGCCCCCAACUUGGGUAUAAGCCUGGGAAACUGGGUCUAAUUCCCGAUAGGACUGCAGGGUGGUGCCUGUGGUGGAAAACGAUUUUCUAGUGGUUGGGGAUGAGCUCGCGGCCUAUCAGCUUGUUGGUGGGGUAAUGGCCUACCAAGGCGGCGACGGGUAGCCGGCCUGGGAGGGUGGACGGCCACAUUGGGACUGAGAUACGGCCCAGACUCCUACGGGAGGCAGCAGUGGGGAAUAUUGCACGAUGGGCGGAAGCCUGAUGCAGCGACGCCGCGUGGGGGAUGACGGCCUUCGGGUUGUAAACUCCUUCCGACCGCGAGGAAGCCACCUGGUUGGAAGGGUGGUGGCGGUAGUGGUAGAAGAAGCACCGGCUAACUACGUG
rnacentral:rRNA from 1 species